AGCAAGGUUAGUCCAACGGUAGUUUAGAUCAGUGGCUCAGACGAACGCUGGCGGCAUGCCUAACACAUGCAAGUCGAAACGAGACCUUCGGGUCUAGUGGCGCACGGGUGCGUAACGCGUGGGAACCUGCCUUUAGGUUCGGAAUAACUCAGAGAAAUUUGAGCUAAUACCGGAUAAUGUCUUCGGACCAAAGAUUUAUCGCCUUUAGAUGGGCCCGCGUUGGAUUAGCUAGUUGGUGGGGUAAAGGCCUACCAAGGCGACGAUCCAUAGCUGGUCUGAGAGGAUGAUCAGCCACACUGGGACUGAGACACGGCCCAGACUCCUACGGGAGGCAGCAGUGGGGAAUUUUGGACAAUGGGGCGAAAGCCUGAUCCAGCAAUGCCGCGUGAGUGAUGAAGGCCUUAGGGUUGUAAAGCUCUUUACCAGGGAUGAUAAUGACAGUACUUGGAGAAUAAGCUCCGGCUAACUCCAUG
rnacentral:rRNA from 1 species